CAAUAACGAUGAUGGUCAAAGCUCAUGGAAAUUGUAGGUCUUUUUGACUUGCAAUUUUCGAGAGUUU
rnacentral:sRNA from 2 species